GAUGAACGCUGGCGGCGUGCCUAAUACAUGCAAGUAGAACGCUGAAGGAGGAGCUUGCUCUUCUGGAUGAGUUGCGAACGGGUGAGUAACGCGUAGGUAACCUGCCUGGUAGCGGGGGAUAACUAUUGGAAACGAUAGCUAAUACCGCAUGACAACAGUUAUUGCAUGAUAACUGUUUAAAAGGGGCAACUGCUCCACUACCAGAUGGACCUGCGUUGUAUUAGCUAGUUGGUGAGGUAACGGCUCACCAAGGCGACGAUACAUAGCCGACCUGAGAGGGGGAGCGGCCGAACUGGGACUGAGACACGGCCCAGACUCCUACGGGAGGCAGCAGUAGGGAAACUUCGGCAAUGGACGGAAGUCUGACCGAGCAACGCCGCGUGAGUGAAGAAGGGUUUCGGAUCGGAAAGCUCUGUUGUAAGAGAAGAACGAGUGUGAGAGUGGAAAGUUCACACUGUGACGGUAUCUUAACAGAAAGGGACGGCUAACUACGUG
rnacentral:rRNA from 1 species